UUACUUUCAAAUUUAAAGAAAAUUUAAGUUCAAUGUGAGAACAAAAAUCAAAUAUCAAAACUGCAUAAAUUUCCAACAAACAAACCAAGAACGAAAUCGCGCAAAUUUACUCAGACAGUAACGGUUACAGGUUGGAGCAUACUAACGAAUCCACGGACAGACAGAAAUACUGAUAAACCGACAGAUAACAGCCAGCAGCAAAUGAAACGGGUCACAACAAGAAAGCCAAACAAAUAAGUUUCCCAGCGGAAGGUAACAAGCAAACAGUGCGAAUAAGGAAGACCGAAGGCGAGAAGGAUAAGCAAAACUGUUGCAAUCGCUGGGUGACCCCACUAACCUGCCACGGCAACCCUAGCAGACGAAACAAAUACACAUACAGAUAG